CGAGACACAUCGACGAAGACACUCGCACGGCAGGAGCGGGGGACCCAGGUAAGUCGCCGGGCCGGACGACACACGUCGCACCGGAACGGCUAGGGGUGAAGUCGUGUCGCCGUAAGGCGGCGCGCCCGGGCAGCUCCCGCCCGAACCCGACAGCUCACCUCGCAGGCGCCGGAGAGGAACA
rnacentral:sRNA from 1 species